GAGAUGACCUUCUGAGAGAGUCGGAAGCCGAUUUCCUGCGGGCAAGGGAAGGUAUCAAAGCAAAAGUGGCUGAGGUGGAGCACCUUGACAGUGUGGUCAAGAAACUGAAAGCCAGUAUCCAGGACACACAGAAAGAAAAGAAUCAGACAGAGACAGCAACCACCAUACUGAGAACUGAGAUUCAGCAGCUAAAUCAGUAACUGCAGGGUGUGCAUAAGCAGUGCAGAAAGACAGGCAAAGAACUUGCCAGUCAAGAUGAAAAACUUCUUCUAAUGGAAUCCAGCUUGAAAGCAACUCAAGAGCAGCUAAGUGAGCAAAUAGCAGAAACAGUUCGCCAAGAACAGAACAGUAGAAAAUCACAGACGGAGAACUGAAAACCUUGAGAAAACAUAUUCUAACUUCUGAAGAAGAAAUUAGUGAUUACAAAGACAUGAUGAUGUGCACCAUAUGGAGCUGCAACUGAGGCAGAAGAUCUUCCAUCCGUCACAAAAGGUUCAUUUUGUUUAUUAUUG